GCUGGAGGAACUCAGCAGGUCAGGAAUAAGAAAGGAAUAUGGAAAGGAAUAAGAAGAUGACAUUUCGGGGCUGAGACCCUUCAAGAGGACCUGAGUUCUUCCAGCACUUGCUGAAUGUUUCUCCGGAUUUCCAGGAUUGCAGAAUCUCUUGUGUUUGGAUUUGACAGAAGUUAAAAGAGGCCAACUUUUCCUUUUAUGUUUCCGUGGAGUGUGAGGCAUCCAUGGACUCGCAGGAGGUUUGCAAAUCAGAACUGGCCAGGUCGCCUCAGAAGUGAUCUAGUACUAAAUCUGAAAACUUGGAAUAAAAGAGACUUCUCUUUUCCAACCAUCACAUUUUGAAUGCAGUUUUACUCCUCCUUUUGGAAUUUGUUUACCAUGAGAAUGUGGUGAGAGAAGAUGAAGAAUUCCAUACAUGAAACUCUGAGAAGAAAUGAGUUAUGAAUCACUACACCACACUGGCUAAACCUUGGAUGAACAGUAAGCCUAAAUCUGUUUGGCAAUGAGUGCUGAAAGAGCAUCACCCUGACCACAGCAGGAUGCUGCCUGAGUGGUUGAGCUUCUCCAGCAUUUUGUGUGCAUUGCUCAAGAUUUCCAACAUCUGCGGAACCUCUUGUGUUUAUAAACUGCCCUGAGGUGCCUGAUGUGGACGCAUCCAAAACAUCAUUGACCAGAUGAGUUGAUUACUCGAACUUCUGGGAUGGUUAGAGCCAGUGAUUUACAGUUUGGAAAUUGAUUGCGUGAUCCAGCGCUUUGCUGUCUCCAAGAAGAUUCUGGGAAGCCAGUGCAUACUCGGACGGCCUUGAUGUGAAGAAACUUCGAGACGGCUGCAAGCUGAUGUUUGCCUCCAUUCUUCUGGUUAAAGUAUCCAUUAAUUGCUGAUUAAAGUAGUGAGGGGAAGAUUGAGACUUUGAGGCAAAUACAUAAGGCGAGCAAGAGUUCUGUGCUGACUGCCUUCCUUUUGGUCACUGCCAGAGAAGGAACCUGUGAGCGGCCUAUCGCUGUGUGGUUCACUGUGGCAGAUGGGUAGGCCCCUCUGCCUCAUAUGGUGUCCCUCUCUUUCGAUAAACAUUGAUGAUAUUGGAGGAUGGUACCAUGGUUCUGUGUUUAUGGAUUGGACUAUUGCGUUUAUGGACUGUUGACUCUUUUAGACUGAUGGUUUUUAUAUCCUGUGUUUUUUAUCGCCCGUUCCCUUUCCAUUUUGUUGUGUGAAGGGAGAAUGUUUUGGGGGUUGAUGUUCCAUUGUGUUCUAUUAGUUUUUUUGUGUGGGGAAGGGAUUGUAUUGGGGGGGUCUAUGUUCCUGUUUCAUUUUGUGCAGGGGGGAAGGGAGGUUUUGGGGGCCAUUUUUUUGUGUGUGUGGUGUGUUAGGUUUGAUGUUUCUCACUGAACAACUUUCAUGUUCUUGCUUUGUUUCAUGGCUACCUGGGAAGACAAAUUUCCGAAUUGUAUAUGGAUAAAUGCUUUGGUAAUAAAUG